rnacentral:rRNA from 1 species
GAUCAUGGCUCAGGAUGAACGCUAGCUACAGGCUUAACACAUGCAAGUCGGAGGGGCAGCAUGGUCUUAGCUUGCUAAGGCUGAUGGCGACCGGCGCACGGGUGAGUAACACGUAUCCAACCUGCCGUCUACUCUUGGCCAGCCUUCUGAAAGGAAGAUUAAUCCAGGAUGGGAUCAUGAGUUCACAUGUCCGCAUGAUUAAAGGUUAUUUUCCGGUAGACGAUGGGGA